GGGUCAUUAGCUCAAUUGGUAGAGCAUCCGACUCUUAAUCGGGUGGUUGAAGGUUCGAGUCCUUCAUGACCCA
rnacentral:tRNA from 5 species